CUUCGUUCUCACUUUGACUCUAAGACCAGAGACAUUCUCCUCUUCUUUCUAGUGGAAAUGGGGCAGAAAAAUAUUUCCAGGAAUUAGGGAGAUUGGGAGGUCAAGUCCCUUCUAUUCUUGAUGACAUCCUGUUUGUGCCUGGUUCUUCAUAUUUACUGUGUUACUGAGCGAAACCGAUUCUCAAACUAAUGUCAGUGAGCCGAACAGGAGUAAAAUGAAACACCUCCAAUCAUCUGGCUCCAAGUGAUUUGAUGACACAAGAAGGCUUUGUCAGAAGUUCUCUCCAGCCCCAGCCCCCUCUCAAGCACACGGUCACAGUGAAGGAUAUGGCAUUGUUCGUGAGUCAGACUGUCUAACAGGAGAGUUAACUGGGGAGGAUAUGGAGCUGCAGCGCUCUGCUGAAGGAGUUAGCUGCCAUACAGCCAAACUUUGAGGGAGAGGAAGAGCAAGAGCCUUUCAUACUAAAGUCCUAAGGCACCAAGGGGGAGGAAGAUGGGAAGAAGCCUGCUGUAGCUGCACAGUCAGUGGUGGGGAGGAGCUGCAGGCCAGCCCUGGAGAAGCCUGAGGGUGUUCAUCACUCCCUGCAGCCCUGCUAUACACCUUGCUGUGCAUCCUGCAUGAAAGGCAUAUGUGCUAACUGCCUUCAAGGGAUGGAGGUCCCUCAGGUUGCCUCUGCCUGUGUUCAGCAUCUGCUGGGUGCCCUGCAGUUCUGCCUUUGUGGUGGGUUUGGUGAGGGGCCAAGCCUGGCAUGAGCCCAGCUGGCUCGCCCACACAUGGGAGCAUGGUUCAUGCUCUGGCCUUGUCCCUCUGUAGUGUCAAAGAACUAACCCUGUCUCAGGUCUGGCUUUGGCUCUGGACAGUAGGCAGCCCUCAUGUGAUAGCCAUGCACACUGGAGGCCAGCACAAGCCACAGGCCAUUCCUUACAGGCCACCAAGCCCAGUGCCGUCAGUGAGUGUACUCAGAGCAGCAGGAUCUGGGGUGGCCAUGGGCUGGGUCAGCUGGUCUGCUGGAGUUUCGUCACACUGAAACACCAGAGGGCAUGCAGAAAGGAGCUAGAGCUGAAAGGGGGGUGAGCUCUGCAGGCUUGUUCCAGAUUGGGCAAUAUCCACAGAAGUGACAGAGGCUGUGGUCUUCCAGCCUUAAAGCAGUGAGCUCUGCUUGACUCAGAAGCAUCCCAUUGCCAGUGACUGUCGUGAAUCAGGCACAUGCUUCCUGUCUGAUCAAUUAAUUACUGCCACUGUUAUUACUAUGGCUAAUAAAGUACUUGAAAGUCAAAAUGCAGUUCCAUAGCAGUCCCACUUAUGCAUACAUAAAAGAAUAGUAAAAAUCCAGAUUUCCUGGUAGUUUGGAUGGCCUCAGCCACUACCUAAAACGGAUUCAAAAAUCCCCUGCCAGAAACCUUAC
ensembl:lncRNA